UCUGCAGAACUAUCCCAAACUCCUGGAAGAGCAGCCUGGGGCAUGGGCAGAGAAGCGAGUGGGCUGCAGGGUGCGAUGCUGCUCCAGUGUGACAGCCUUCACCGGUGCUCACGCUUCCAGCCAUCAGCAGAUGGGGGGUUCUUCCCUCUUCCUUCAGGGAGGAAUUCAGGACCCAGUGCUCAGAGCACAAGUUGGCUUCCACGUUCAUCCUGCAAUACCCGCCUGCACAUGCCUGUGCUCGGCACCCAGGCUGCUGGGAGAGUGACUCAUCCUUCGCACAGAAGCCGUCUGUCCAGUGAACUCAUGGGAUGUUUGGAAGCCACCAGUGGUUCAUGUUCAGCUCCCAUCCACUCUGCAGAGGACUUGGGUUGCAGCUCAGCAGCUAUCUCCAUCUUCUGCCACAUUUUCCAGAAAGGCAUUUCGAAGCACUGCCUCAUCUACCUCCCCACCCACGCAGAUACCCCUGGCUUCACAUAAGAGUACCAGUUUGAGUGGAAACUCCUCUACGCGCACCCCAAUCCUCUUCAAAAACAAUCUCAAGAGUGACAAGCGAAUCCCACCUGCGUUCCCACCCCUUGGUGGCACAAGGAAAACGGAAGCUGUGACAACCAAGGCACUUGCUCAGAAGGUGGCCCUGGGAAAGGGCUUUGUUUUGUUUUCCCCUGCCCCUCGACCCUUAGCUGGCCACAGCUGGAAACACACAGCUUUUGAGGUCUGACUUGAUUAUCAGAGCUAAGUUACAUUUCACUGUUAACUAUGUAAGCCCUAUAUGGGACAAGUGCAUCACUGAAAUUUCACCUGAUAAAUAAAUUAGGUUAAAAUCCA